CGCCCUUCAGAGGGGGACAACAGUUGGAAACGACUGCUAAUACCGCAUACGAUCUGACCUCGGCAUUGAGGAUGGAUGAAAGGUGGCCUCUAUUUAUAAGCUAUCACUGAAGGAGGGGAUUGCGUCUGAUUAGCUAGUUGGAGGGGUAACGGCCCACCAAGGCGAUGAUCAGUAGCCGGUCUGAGAGGAUGAACGGCCACAUUGGGACUGAGACACGGCCCAG
rnacentral:rRNA from 1 species